rnacentral:rRNA from 1 species
GGCGCACGGGUGAGUAACGCGUAUGCAACCUACCCAUUACAGGGGAAUAACUCUCGGAAACGGGAACUAAUACCGCAUAACACUGCAUUUUCGCAUGAAAGAGCAGUUAAAGAUUUAUUGGUAAUGGAUGGGCAUGCGUGACAUUAGUUUGUUGGUAGGGUAACGGCCUACCAAGACUACGAUGUCUAGGGGUUCUGAGAGGAGGGUCCCCCACACUGGUACUGAGACACGGACCAGACUCCUACGGGAGGCAGGAGUGAGGAAUAUUGGUCAAUGGGCGAGAGCCUGAACCAGCCAAGUCGCGUGCAGGAUGACUGCCUUAUGGGUUGUAAACUGCUUUUAUAAAGGAAUAACAACAGAGAUGUAUCUCUGGAUGAAUGUACUUUAGGAAUAAGGAUCGGCUAACUCCGUGCCAGCAGCCGCGGUAAUACGGAGGAUCCAAGCGUUAUCCGGAUUUAUUGGGUUUAAAGGGUGCGUAGGCGGUUUGUUAAGUCAGUGGUGAAAGUUUGCAGCUCAACUGUAAAAUUGCCAUUGAAACUGGCAGACUUGAGUAUGGUAGAGGUAAGCGGAAUGCG